CAGUACCGUGAGGGAAAGGUGAAAAGCACCCCGGGAGGGGAGUGAAAUAGAACCUGAAACCGUGUGCCUACAACAAGUUCGAGCCCGUUAAUGGGUGAGAGCGUGCCUUUUGUAGAAUGAACCGGCGAGUUACGAUAUGAUGCGAGGUUAAGUUGAAGAGACGGAGCCGUAGGGAAACCGAGUCUUAAUAGGGCGCAUUAGUAUCAUGUCGUAGACCCGAAACCAUGUGACCUACCCAUGAGCAGGUUGAAGGUGAGGUAAAACUCACUGGAGGACCGAACCAGGGCACGUUGAAAAGUGCUUGGAUGACUUGUGGGUAGCGGAGAAAUUCCAAACGAACUUGGAGAUAGCUGGUUCUCUCCGAAAUAGCUUUAGGGCUAGCGUCGAUGUUAAGUCUCUUGGAGGUAGAGCACUGUUUGGGUGAGGGGUCCAUCCCGGAUUACCAAUCUCAGAUAAACUCCGAAUGCCAACGAGAUAUAAUCGGCAGUCAGACUGCGAGUGCUAAGAUCCGUAGUCGAAAGGGAAACAGCCCAGACCACCAGCUAAGGUCCCAAAAUAUAUGUUAAGUGGAAAAGGAUGUGGGGUUGCACAGACAACUAGGAUGUUAGCUUAGAAGCAGCUAUUCAUUCAAAGAGUGCGUAAUAGCUCACUAGUCGAGUGACCCUGCGCCGAAAAUGUACCGGGGCUAAAACAUAUUACCGAAGCUGUGGAUACCUUUAUAGGUAUGGUAGGAGAGCGUUCUAUGUGCGAAGAAGGUGUACCGUGAGGAGUGCUGGAGCGCAUAGAAGUGAGAAUGCCGGUAUGAGUAGCGAAAGACAGGUGAGAAUCCUGUCCACCGUAAGACUAAGGUUUCCAGGGGAAGGCUCGUCCGCCCUGGGUUAGUCGGGACCUAAGGAGAGACCGAAAGGUGUAUCCGAUGGACAACAGGUUGAUAUUCCUGUACUAGAGUAUAUAGUGAUGGAGGGACGCAGUAGGCUAACUAAACCAGACGAUUGGAAGUGUCUGGCCAAGCAGUGAGGUGUGAUAUGAGUCAAAUGCUUAUAUCUAUAACAUUGAGCUGUGAUGGGGAGCGAAGUUUAGUAGCGAAGUUAGUGAUGUCACACUGCCGAGAAAAGCUUCUAGCGUUAAUUAUACUCUACCCGUACCGCAAACCGACACAGGUAGUCGAGGCGAGUAGCCUCAGGUGAGCGAGAGAACUCUCGUUAAGGAACUCGGCAAAAUGGCCCCGUAACUUCGGGAGAAGGGGCGCUGACUUAUGGUCAGCCGCAGUGAAUAGGCCCAAGCAACUGUUUAUCAAAAACACAGCUCUCUGCUAAAUCGUAAGAUGAUGUAUAGGGGGUGACGCCUGCCCGGUGCUGGAAGGUUAAGAGGAGUGCUUAGCAAUAGCGAAGGUAUGAAUUGAAGCCCCAGUAAACGGCGGCCGUAACUAUAACGGUCCUAAGGUAGCGAAAUUCCUUGUCGGGUAAGUUCCGACCCGCACGAAAGGCGUAAUGAUUUGGGCACUGUCUCAACGAGAGACUCGGUGAAAUUUUAGUACCUGUGAAGAUGCAGGUUACCCGCGACAGGACGGAAAGACCCCAUGGAGCUUUACUGCAGUUUGAUAUUGAGUAUCUGUACCACAUGUACAGGAUAGGUAGGAGCCUAUGACCUCGGGACGCCAGUUUCGAGUGAGGCGUUGUUGGGAUACUACCCUUGUGUUAUGGCUACUCUAACCCAGAUAGGUUAUCCCUAUCGGAGACAGUGUCUGACGGGCAGUUUGACUGGGGCGGUCGCCUCCUAAAAGGUAACGGAGGCGCCCAAAGGUUCCCUCAGAAUGGUUGGAAAUCAUUCGCAGAGUGUAAAGGUAUAAGGGAGCUUGACUGCGAGAGCUACAACUCGAGCAGGGACGAAAGUCGGGCUUAGUGAUCCGGUGGUUCCGCAUGGAAGGGCCAUCGCUCAACGGAUAAAAGCUACCCUGGGGAUAACAGGCUUAUCUCCCCCAAGAGUUCACAUCGACGGGGAGGUUUGGCACCUCGAUGUCGGCUCGUCGCAUCCUGGGGCUGUAGUCGGUCCCAAGGGUUGGGCUGUUCGCCCAUUAAAGCGGCACGCGAGCUGGGUUCAGAACGUCGUGAGACAGUUCGGUCCCUAUCCGUCGCGGGCGUAGGAAAUUUGAGAGGAUCUGCUCCUAGUACGAGAGGACCAGAGUGGACUUACCGCUGGUGUACCAGUUGUUCUGCCAAGAGCAUCGCUGGGUAGCUAUGUAGGGAAGGGAUAAACGCUGAAAGCAUCUAAGUGUGAAGCCCACCUCAAGAUGAGAUUUCCCAUGAUUUU
rnacentral:rRNA from 1 species